rnacentral:rRNA from 1 species
UACGUAGGAUGCAAGCGUUGUCCGGAUUUACUGGGCGUAAAGCGCGCGCAGGCGGCAGUACAAGUACCCUCUGAAAUCUCCUUGCUCAACGAGGAGGGUGGAGGGUAGACUGUGCAGCUAGAGGAGGGUAGAGGGGGGUAGAAUUGCUGGUGUAGCGGUGAAAUGCGUAGAGAUCAGCAGGAAUACCCGUGGCGAAGGCGGCCCCCUGGGCCCUAAAAUCCCCCUUUUGGAAAGCACACCCUUCGGGGUGGAAGCUGCCGAUAGGAAACCUGACGCUGAGGCGCGAAGGCUAGGGGAGCGAACGGGAUUAGAUACCCCGGUAGUCCUAGCAGUAAACGAUGACCACUAGGUGUGGGGGGUGUUGACCCCCCCUGUGCCGCAGCUAACGCAUUAAGUGGUCCGCCUGGGGAGUACGGUCGCAAGACUAAA